UUAAGCGACUAAGCGUACACGGUGGAUGCCCUGGCAGUCAGAGGCGAUGAAGGACGUGCUAAUCUGCGAAAAGCGUCGGUAAGGUGAUAUGAACCGUUAUAACCGGCGAUGUCCGAAUGGGGAAACCCAGUGCAAUUCGUUGCACUAUCGUUAACUGAAUACAUAGGUUAACGAGGCGAACCGGGGGAACUGAAACAUCUAAGUACCCCGAGGAAAAGAAAUCAACCGAGAUUCCCCCAGUAGCGGCGAGCGAACGGGGAGCAGCCCAGAGUCUGAAUCAGCUUGUGUGUUAGUGGAACGGUCUGGAAAGUCCGACGGUACAGGGUGAUAGUCCCGUACACCAAAAUGCACAGGCUGUGAACUCGAAGAGUAGGGCGGGACACGUGGUAUCCUGUCUGAAUAUGGGGGGACCAUCCUCCAAGGCUAAAUACUCCUGACUGACCGAUAGUGAACCAGUACCGUGAGGGAAAGGCGAAAAGAACCCCGGCGAGGGGAGUGAAAAAGAACCUGAAACCGUGUACGUACAAGCAGUGGGAGCACCUUCGGGUGUGACUGCGUACCUUUUGUAUAAUGGGUCAGCGACUUAUAUUCUGUAGCAAGGUUAACCGUAUAGGGGAGCCGCAGGGAAACCGAGUCUUAACUGGGCGUUAAGUUGCAGGGUAUAGACCCGAAACCCGGUGAUCUAGCCAUGGGCAGGUUGAAGGUUGGGUAACACUAACUGGAGGACCGAACCGACUAAUGUUGAAAAAUUAGCGGAUGACUUGUGGCUGGGGGUGAAAGGCCAAUCAAACCGGGAGAUAGCUGGUUCUCCCCGAAAGCUAUUUAGGUAGCGCCUCGUGAACUCAUCUUCGGGGGUAGAGCACUGUUUCGGCUAGGGGGUCAUCCCGACUUACCAACCCGAUGCAAACUACGAAUACCGAAGAAUGUUAUCACGGGAGACACACGGCGGGUGCUAACGUCCGUCGUGAAGAGGGAAACAACCCAGACCGCCAGCUAAGGUCCCAAAGUCAUGGUUAAGUGGGAAACGAUGUGGGAAGGCACAGACAGCCAGGAUGUUGGCUUAGAAGCAGCCAUCAUUUAAAGAAAGCGUAAUAGCUCACUGGUCGAGUCGGCCUGCGCGGAAGAUGUAACGGGGCUAAACCAUGCACCGAAGCUGCGGCAGCGACACUAUGUGUUGUUGGGUAGGGGAGCGUUCUGUAAGCCUGCGAAGGUGACCUGUGAGGGUUGCUGGAGGUAUCAGAAGUGCGAAUGCUGACAUAAGUAACGAUAAAGCGGGUGAAAAGCCCGCUCGCCGGAAGACCAAGGGUUCCUGUCCAACGUUAAUCGGGGCAGGGUGAGUCGACCCCUAAGGCGAGGCCGAAAGGCGUAGUCGAUGGGAAACAGGUUAAUAUUCCUGUACUUGGUGUUACUGCGAAGGGGGGACGGAGAAGGCUAUGUUAGCCGGGCGACGGUUGUCCCGGUUUAAGCAUGUAGGCUGAUUGUCCAGGCAAAUCCGGAUAAUCAAGGCUGAGGUGUGAUGACGAGGCACUACGGUGCUGAAGUAACAAAUGCCCUGCUUCCAGGAAAAGCCUCUAAGCAUCAGGUAACAUCAAAUCGUACCCCAAACCGACACAGGUGGUCAGGUAGAGAAUACCAAGGCGCUUGAGAGAACUCGGGUGAAGGAACUAGGCAAAAUGGUGCCGUAACUUCGGGAGAAGGCACGCUGGUGUGUAGGUGAAGCCCCUGCGGGUGGAGCUGAGACCAGUCGAAGAUACCAGCUGGCUGCAACUGUUUAUUAAAAACACAGCACUGUGCAAACACGAAAGUGGACGUAUACGGUGUGACGCCUGCCCGGUGCCGGAAGGUUAAUUGAUGGGGUUAUCCGUAAGGAGAAGCUCUUGAUCGAAGCCCCGGUAAACGGCGGCCGUAACUAUAACGGUCCUAAGGUAGCGAAAUUCCUUGUCGGGUAAGUUCCGACCUGCACGAAUGGCGUAAUGAUGGCCAGGCUGUCUCCACCCGAGACUCAGUGAAAUUGAACUCGCUGUGAAGAUGCAGUGUACCCGCGGCAAGACGGAAAGACCCCGUGAACCUUUACUAUAGCUUGACACUGAACAUUGAGCCUUGAUGUGUAGGAUAGGUGGGAGGCUUUGAAGCGUGGACGCCAGUCUGCGUGGAGCCAACCUUGAAAUACCACCCUUUAAUGUUUGAUGUUCUAACGUUGGCCCCUGACCGGGGUUGCGGACAGUGUCUGGUGGGUAGUUUGACUGGGGCGGUCUCCUCCCAAAGCGUAACGGAGGAGCACGAAGGUUAGCUAAUCCUGGUCGGACAUCAGGAGGUUAGUGCAAUGGCAUAAGCUAGCUUGACUGCGAGCGUGACGGCGCGAGCAGGUGCGAAAGCAGGUCAUAGUGAUCCGGUGGUUCUGAAUGGAAGGGCCAUCGCUCAACGGAUAAAAGGUACUCCGGGGAUAACAGGCUGAUACCGCCCAAGAGUUCAUAUCGACGGCGGUGUUUGGCACCUCGAUGUCGGCUCAUCACAUCCUGGGGCUGAAGUAGGUCCCAAGGGUAUGGCUGUUCGCCAUUUAAAGUGGUACGCGAGCUGGGUUUAGAACGUCGUGAGACAGUUCGGUCCCUAUCUGCCGUGGGCGCUGGAGAAUUGAGGGGGGCUGCUCCUAGUACGAGAGGACCGGAGUGGACGCAUCACUGGUGUUCGGGUUGUCAUGCCAAUGGCACUGCCCGGUAGCUAAAUGCGGAAGAGAUAAGUGCUGAAAGCAUCUAAGCACGAAACUUGCCCCGAGAUGAGUUCUCCCUGAGACUAUAAGUCUCCUGAAGGAACGUUAAAGACGAUGACGUUGAUAGGCCGGGUGUGUAAGCGCAGCGAUGCGUUGAGCUAACCGGUACUAAUGAACCGUGAGGCUUAACCUU
rnacentral:rRNA from 1 species